UACGUAGGGUGCGAGCGUUAAUCGGAAUUACUGGGCGUAAAGCGUGCGCAGGCGGCUUUGCAAGACAGAUGUGAAAUCACCGGGCUCAACCUGGGAACUGCAUUUGUGACUGCAAGGCUAGAGUACGGCAGAGGGGGAUGGAAUUCCGCGUGUAGCAGUGAAAUGCGUAGAUAUGCGGAGGAACACCAAUGGCGAAGGCAAUCCCCUGGGCCUGUACUGACGCUCAUGCACGAAAGCGUGGGGAGCAAACAGG
rnacentral:rRNA from 1 species